GGCCGUGUAGCUCAAUGGCAGAGCGUCUGACUACGAUUAACAAGUAUCGAUCUAGCGAUACCUGAUGUAUGUAAUCAGAAGGUCGCAGGUUCGACCCCUGUCUCGGUCA
rnacentral:tRNA from 1 species